GCCGAAUCAGCCCGCUGCAGACAGGCAGGUCUGUGCACGCCCUACCGAGGUCCUGAGUCACGCAGAAGACACUGAAUCACCCCACUGCAGACAGGCAGCCACCUGAUUCCACAUUACCAAGGCGCAGAGGACACCAGACCACCAGACCAAGGAUUAGGCUGUCGGGAACCCCAGAGGCAGGUGGCCGGUGAGCAGACUGUGACGGCCCUCAGCUGUCCUAGGGCAGAAGGGACAGCUCCUGUGUGCUGGCUUCCCCACUCAGACUACUUUCUCCUGCACCUCAGUAGCCACUCCCUUCCCAGGAAGGAAGGAAAGAAGGAAGGAAGGAAGGAAGGAGAGAGACAGGUAGACCCUCAAAUGACUACAGGGUAAGAGAUUUGAAAGAACUGAAAAGAGCUGGGCUUGGUGGUGCACACUUGUAAUCCCAGCACUCCAGAGGCUGAGGCAAGAGAAUUGUCAUAAGUUCAAGGCCAACCUGGGCUUCGUAGUGAGCUCAAAACCAGCCUGAAUUACAGAGCGAGACCCUGUCUCAAAAAAACUGGCUCUUACUGUGAGAAAUAACCAUGCUUAAAAAAAAGAAAGAAAGAAAGAACCAUGCCUUUGAGUUUCUAGAGGCAAAGCAGAACUGAGACUCACAAUGCCACUGCCAACGAGAACAAAGGGACUGCAUGCUGGAACCGGAGACUCAGCAUUAAGGUUUUCAUCAGCCUUGGCUGGGAUUGCAAAUCAGGAGAAAAAGGAAGGGAGAGAAGGCAGACAGGCCACAGAGCAUGCCAGCCAUGCCCAGGAUGGACAAGAUCUGGGGAACCCUGGCCAAGGCCAGGAGCCCCACUCGGUCUGCUCUGUGCUCUUCGCCUUCAUCCCCGUAGCUGCCACUUCCUCAUCUCACACAGCAGCCCUUCCCAAAGCCGCAGGCCUGCACACCUGUCAGAAAAGAAUGCACUACGUGUGAUUCGUGAGUGUGUGAGAGGAGGGCUGGGAUCCCUCCAUGCUCUUCUUCUUUUUUGAAAUUUUUUCAGUACCAAGGAUCGAACUCAGGACCUUGUACUUGUGAGGCAGGCGUGGCGUCACUGAGCUACAUCCUGGCCCCCUCAAUGCUCUUCUUACAGUACACGUUUUCAUUACAUAAUGAUGGAAUGUGGGAAGCAAAUGUAAAUUCUUACUAAGUAACAUAAUAUGAUUUUUAUUUUGUUUGUGGGUUUUUGGUACCAGGGAUCGAACUCAGGUCCUGUGAGGCAGGCAACGGAACCACUGAGCUAAAUCCUGGACCCUAACACGAUUUUUAAAAGGGAACAAAGGAAGCACACACCUGAAUGGGUAACAUGAAGUGGUACCUGUGAUAUUAUUAUCAAUACUGUUAUUAACAAUAGCAUUUAUAUUGUGUUUUGAAAAAUAAAAGUGCAUUCUAGUGUUAAAAAAAAAAGGAGCAAAAGAGAAAGUAAGCUCCAUGAAUAAUUUUUGUUCCCCCCCUGUGUCUAAAAUAAUGCUUAGGCCCCAGUACCUACGAAAUAGAUAAGUGUCCCAGACCUGCUCAAGUAUGUAAGGAAGUUACAAGCACUAUAAAAAUAUGUUCUGGCCACAAGCAUACUUAAUACAACAGCAAUAAAAAAUACAUUUCAAACAGUCCUAUUUUAGGGGACUCAAGAGUUUAAAAGGAAUUAAGGGAUAGCAUCCAUUCUAAUAUCUAUUUUUUCUAGGACUGUGUAUCAACCUGUGGACUGUGACAUAUCUUUGCCUAAGACUGCUAAUCUAAAAAUUAAACAUUCAGAACCAAUACACAGUGGGCCUAUAUUUUCUCUGUAGCUUUUGUUACUUGUAGUCUUUAUGCAGUCUAAGAACACGUUCUGCCUUCUCUCAAAAUCCCUUGCUUUUGAGUAAUUUGCUUUUGAAUUUAUAAGUACCUUACCUCAUUAUACACCAUAUUAUUUCUAUCAGAUUAAACCCUGACUGACCCAUAAGAUGUUGAAGAUAUAUUUCUUCAUAUACUAAACAUUUAAAGGCACAUACUUUUAUACCCAGCUCUUGUAAAGCCAUGGGUUGGAAAAGCUUUUAAACAUAAACCAAUAUAUCUAGUCCUAAGAACUUAGCAAUGAAUAAGUGCAACCACUACCCAUUUACUGGUUUUUCAAUAAGUUAACAUGUUAAAGGAGAGGACAGUCCCUUAGAAGUGUGAAAUUCUGCUGCUGCACAAUCAUCUUCUUUAUUCAAGAAACCUGAUAUUGUCUUCAGAACUCACUCCAGAAACCACCUUCUUGGGACAUCAGCAAACAUUCAGGGCAAAAGACACACAAAGCAAACACAGGUCAAAGAGGGUGAAGAGCCAGAGGGCCAGCGCUGGGAGUGUCCUGGAAGCCCGUUGGUCCCAGAACCAGUGGCUGCACUGGUUCUGCUCGGCCACAACCACAACCAGGAUACACGGGGACACCCGAGGCAGGGUCCUGAAAGCAGGGUGACUCCUCAGCCCCAGGAAAUCCAGUAACCCUUACUGCACAGCCACCAAAGACCAAGGGACCAUGGCCAGUGGGGAAGUAGGAGUGUCUUCGGCCACACACACACAUUCACACGCCAAGGCUUUGGUCCCAGUCUCCCUCAGUCCCUCCCCAGCCGAGGCCUUCCCCAUUCAGCCUCCAUGACACAGAAGCCAGGCAGUUACUCAGAAGCGCUCUCUCGCUCUUGCUCUCUCGCUCGCUCACUCUCUCUCUCUCCCUCUCCCUCUUUUCCUCUCUCUCUCUCUCUCUCUCUCUCUCUGUCUCUCAGCACUUAUGGAUGCUUCAUUACAUAGGGGUGGUUUUUGUUUCGUUUCGUUUUUGGUUCCUUUGUUUUUGUGACAGUCUUACUAUGUAGCCUCCGUUGGCCUCAAGCUCAAGAUCCUCCUGCCUCAGCUUCUAGAAUGCUGGGACUUCAGAUGUUCUCCACUUCUCGAGGCUGGCACAACUGAUGGCAUCAUUGGCCCCUGGAGAUCCAUUUAACCUUCAGCUUCAGUCCCCUCCUCUAUCCAGAGGCUGGACAUCCCAAUCGUGUAAGCAUGCCUCAGUCUUGCAGGUGACUGGCUCCCAUCCCAAAGCAAUCUAAAAAUCCCCUCCCCCAGCCACCAGCUGUCUCAUUAACACACAGAAGGAGGAGCUAAGGGGAGAGAUUCCCAGUGGUGAACUUGUGUUUGGAAGGCUCUGAGUGUUCAAAGAUUUAAGUAGGAUUUUAGUGGCUCCAAGCACAAUCUGCAGACUUUACUUCAUCACUGUGUCCAAGACCAAAUUCUUGGGGACCCCCCUCUCAGUACUUUGUCCCCAUGUUCAUCCAGCAGAACAAAACUGCACUAAGAUGAACACUGAGUUCCCAGGCUGGGCUCAGAUCUUCCAUCCUCCUGCCUCAGCUUUCCUGAGUGCUGAGAUUACAUCCAUUCGCCUCUACACCCAGCCUGUUUUCUUUCUUUUGACCUCUACAAGUACUGAAAUAAUCAUGAUAAAUGAAAUCAAAAUAGGUUUUUUUAAAAGCCUCUUUGAGCAGCCAGAAACAAGUAUGGUUUGCAGCUAUGGCUGCAGCAGCCAGAGGGAUUACCAACUGCCUCUCUGAGGUAGAUGCGGUGACAGGGAGUCAGCACGAAGCCCUGCCCCAUGGGAGCUGCAGUUCUGUGAUGUGUGAAAUACACACUGGUCUCUGUCAUGUUGCCUCAUGCUCUUCAACCCUUGGGUUUUUCCCAGUGAUAAGCGUGUCUUUGGUAUGUCAAUGUAUGUCAGUGAAAUGGUUGUACUCCCAGCACUGGGGAGGCUGAGGCAGGAGGAUUGCUGUGAGUUCAAGGCCAGCCUGGGCUACAUGGUGAGUUCUGAACGGCAUAGCAAUACCCUGUCUUGAAGAAGAACUGGGGGGCGGGGGAGACCAAGACAAUAAAACAGUUGGGACCUGCUUGGGGCUGCAGUUAUAUCUACUGGGCAACAUUGUGAUUAAACAGUCAUGCAUAAUGAGACCUCCACAAAAACCCAUCCCAGCUCUCUGGGAACCUGAGGCUGGAGGGUCACACAUUUGAGCCCAGCCUGGGCAACUUGGCAAAAUCCUGUCUCAAAAUAAAAAAGGCUAGAACUGUAGCUCAGUGGUAAAGGAGGAAGAUCACACACACAGGCACACGUAAUCAUAAAAUGUUAAUGCUCAGAGUCUUCAGAGAUCUUUAGAUCCAUCCCUGUCCAACAGACACGACAUCUUAUGGGAGCCAUUUCUCAGUGGCACAGGCUGGAACCCACAGCCCUCACCCCGGGUUAGGCCACUCUCACACCUUCUAGCUGUCUUAUCUUUGGAAGGGAACAGCUAUCUUUGCGUGAGGAGCAGUCUUCUAGUGGGCUGCCAAGGAGUCCCCAGUCUACUCUGGCCCCAACCCGCCAGCCCAUUUUUGGCUUUUUGGGUUUUUUUGAGAUAGGUCUGGCUCUGUAGUUCAAACUGGCCUUGAAUUCACUAUGUAACCCAGGCUGGCCUCAAACUCAAGGUUAUCCUCCUGUUUCAGCCUCCCGAAUGCUGGGAUUACAGGCAUGUGCCCAUUUUAUUUACAUAUUUACUUAGUGUUUUCUUUUGAGACAGCUAUGUGAUCCAGGGCAGGCUUGAACUUGCUAUGUAACCCAACUGGGCUCUAACUUACAAUACUUGUUCCCCAAAGGGAGAAGGGUAAACCACUUUGUUCUCCGUUGUGGUGAGAAAAGGGCUGGCCUGCAUAGGAGAGGACACUGGGUUCUUCUCCUGCCUCAGAUAUUUAGCAGUUGUGUGUUCUUUUCCAAACCCUUGCUCCUCCUUGGGCUUCAGUUUUCUGCUGUUUGUUUUUUAUUUUUUUAAUAAAAUGAGGUCCAUGUUUAUAUACUGCAUUGUUUCUCUGGUGUGAGAAACCAAAAGUGGAAAUAAGGACUAAAAUGUGUAAUAGAUGUUGGGAAAUGGGAAGAAAAUGUUCAAAUGGGAAGGGGAACAAAGGAGUCGGGAGGGAGAAAGGAAGGAAGGGACAAGAAAGAAAGUAGAAAAUAGAAGGAAAAAAAAUGAAACAAAGCUUUUGUACACAGAAAGGGGGAAAUGGGAAAAAAGAGGCGGGAUGUAUCACCUACAGGUGCAAAUCCCCUAUGAUGAGUGUUAUCAUUAGGUAAGCCUAAAAUGUACCAAGAAAUGUUUUGCUAUUAAGAAGAGAAAUAAAUAAA
rnacentral:lncRNA from 1 species